UAGCCCAAACCAAGAGGCUUGCCUCUUGGGGUUGUAGGACAUUCUAUACGGAGUUACAAAGGAACGAGGUAGACGAAGCGACCUGGAAAGGUCCGUCGUAGAGGGUAACAACCCCGUAGUCGAAACUUCGUUCUCUCUUGAAUGUAUCCUGAGUACGGCGGAACACGUGAAAUUCCGUCGGAAUCUGGGAGGACCAUCUCCCAAGGCUAAAUACUCCCUAGUGAUCGAUAGUGAACCAGUACCG
rnacentral:rRNA from 1 species